rnacentral:rRNA from 1 species
GACGAACGCUGGCGGCGCGCCUAACACAUGCAAGUCCAGCGAUGAAAUUUUAACCGAUCUCUUCGGAGAGAAGAUAAAAUGGAUUAGCGGCGGACGGGUGAGUAACACGUGAGAAACCUGCCUUUCACAAGGGGAUAGCCUCGGGAAACCGGGAUUAAUACCCUAUGACACAUUUCCUUCGCAUGGAAGAAAUGUUAAAACUCCGGUGGUGAAAGAUGGUCUCGCGCCUGAUUAGCUAGUUGGUGGGGUAACGGCCCACCAAGGCCAUGAUCAGUAACCGGCCUGAGAGGGUGAACGGUCACAUUGGAACUGAGACACGGUCCAAACUCCUACGGGAGGCAGCAGUGGGGAAUAUUGCACAAUGGAGGAAACUCUGAUGCAGCGACGCCGCGUGAGCGAUGAAGGCUUUCGAGUCGUAAAGCUCUGUCCUAUGGGAAGAUAAUGACGGUACCAUAGGAGGAAGCCCCGGCUAACUACGUG